AAAACCAGAGUGGGGCUAGGGGGAGCAGGAGUACUAGUUAAAUUUUGAAAACAAAAGAUACUGAAAAAGUUGUGACUUUUUUUUAUUUUUUGAAGAAUAUUUGCCUAGCAACAAUUAAGCCCUGUAGGUUAACUUCCAGGUAAGUCAGCUUACAGUAAAAUCUUGCAGUCUCUUGAGUAAGACCAGCCCACUCUCAAUUCCAUGACUCUACACUUAACUUUGGUAAGCUUGAAGAAACUUCCAAAUGCUGAUUAUUGAAAUUAGUAUUCAAACUUAGAUUGGUAAAGAAGGAAUAAAAGUAUUUAAAGUGGAGUUCACAGUGGGAAAAUUAUUAAGAAUAUUUGGAGAAAAACAAUACAUUGGAUAUUGCUGCCACAGUUUACAUAGAAGGAUGAGAAGAUAGCAAGCAACUCUCUUCUGGAACUUGAGCCUGGCCAAAACCUGUGGUGCCUGGCUUCAGGACCUAAUGAAGCUCAGGCUCUUGAUGUCUCAUUGAAAAAACUUCAGUGAGAGACAGAAAGACAGGAACUUUGGACCACUGGACAAAACCCCAAGAGGGAUUGUCAGAAGACCCUC